rnacentral:rRNA from 1 species
CCCUUAGAUGUUCUGGGCCGCACGCGCGCUACACUGACUGGUGCAACAAGUGUCUGACCUUGGCUCGAGAGGCCUGGGCAACCUUUGAACGCCAGUCGUGCUGGGGAUAGAUUCUUGCAAUUAUGGGUCUUCAACGAGGAAUUCCUAGUAAACGCAAGUCAUCAGCUUGCAUUGAUUACGUCCCUGCCCUUUGUACACACCGCCCGUCGCACCUACCGAUUGAAUGGUCCGGUGAAAUCUCGGGACGGCGGCUUGGUCGCUUGCGUCCGACUGCUGAAACUUGAUUAAACCAUAUCAUUUAGAGGAAGGUGAAGUCGUAACA